rnacentral:rRNA from 1 species
GAUGAACGCUGGCGGCGUGCCUAAUACAUGCAAGUCGAGCGAACAGACGAGGAGCUUGCUCCUCUGACGUUAGCGGCGGACGGGUGAGUAACACGUGGAUAACCUACCUAUAAGACUGGGAUAACUUCGGGAAACCGGAGCUAAUACUGGAUAAUAUAUUCAACCGCAUGGUUCAAUAGUGAAAGACGGUUUUGCUGUCACUUAUAGAUGGAUCCGCGCCGCAUUAGCUAGUUGGUAAGGUAACGGCUUACCAAGGCAACGAUGCGUAGCCGACCUGAGAGGGUGAUCGGCCACACUGGAACUGAGACACGGUCCAGACUCCUACGGGAGGCAGCAGUAGGGAAUCUUCCACAAUGGGCGAAAGCUUGACGGAGCAACGCCGCGUGAGCGAUGAAGGUCUUCGGAUCGUAAAACUCUGUUAUUAGGGAAGAACAAAUGUGUAAGUAACUAUGCACGUCUUGACGGUACCUAAUCAGAAAGCCACGGCUAACUACGUG